AUUCAUUAUCACAGAAGUUGAGGCAGUGUUUCCAGAGUUUGAUGGCUUUUUCAUUUUUCAUUUCUUUGCCCUCAAAGACUGUCUAGGGUUCUGAUAACAUCAAGAAUGUGACAGAUGUGAAAAAAAAUGUGAUUUCCUAAGCACCAAGACAUGUCGAAAUUAAUUGCAAAGAACAAGAGCAAAAAGCUUGGCCUGUUCAAGUUUCGGAAAAGUACAACUGAUGUAAGUAUUGAUGCUGAUUUUUUAUCAUUCAAAGUGCCGAUAUCUUGAAUUGAAUUUACUUUAGAGGAGCAAACUAGUGAAAAAUGGUUGUAAACUUGUUAGAGUUCAAAAAGGAAGAGAAAAAAAAAUUUCCCUGGUCUUAUCGCAGAUAAAUAAAUAAACAAUUAACUAAGGUCUAGGAUUAUUUGCAUUUUUUUCAGCUUAGAGCACCUUGUCCCAAGCUCAUUUUCUGACUAAAAUCAUGCACAUACUGUUAUCAUGAAAUUGGACAUGGGGAAAGAUUAUUUUUCGAUCAAAUUACAUGUACUUGAAAUUAAAGCUAGGAUGUCUCAUAACUUAAUUAUUCAUUUAUUCUUAUCUAUUUUGAUGAAAAGAAAAUGAAAGUUUUUUUUUGUUAAAUUCUCUAGUAUUGAGUUCCGCUAUAAUAUUUCAAGAUCUCUGAACCGGGUUUUUCAUGUUGCGCGACUAAUUAAAGUUUGAUUAUCCGCAGCAUGGGUUCUUGUCGUAGAUCAAACACAGCUCAAAUGCAGUAAUGAAGAAACGGAUAAAAAAGUGAUAUAUCCCCACAUAACCAUUAGGUUUCUAUCUGGCUGUUGAUGGGGAAAUCAGCAAGGGGUGUACAAACAAAGAAAUAACUCAUUGAAUUGGAGGCUCUGCAUAGAUCAUUAGGUUGUUAAGAAAUGAGAGGAGUUGUAAAUAAGGGGUAGGAGAUAUUCGUAGUUUCUGUCUUUGCCUUAUCAUGGUGAUGAUGGACUUUAAUAAAUAAAUCUUAAAAUUUCUUUAAUCAAGUUGUUAUCAUCUUCAAAGAACUAAUAUGCAAAAAAAAAAUUCAGGAUAUAAAAGCUAUGAAAUCCAGCAUUAGAAGUUUAUAUCGAUAUCAAGUCAUUUUUAACAAAAAUCUAAUUU
rnacentral:misc_RNA from 1 species